ACUGCAACACACAGCAGCAGCGAUGGGGGAGGAGAAGCGGCACCAGGUGAUGUAGAACCUAUUCGGUGAUCAAUCUGAAGAGGAAGAGGAAGAGGUGGAUUCCGAGCAUGAGUCCAAUCCGCAGCCCAGUUUUGUAUGAUCCUCUAAUUUCAAGUUUCCUUUCUAUUCUGAUUCCAAAAGCAUGUUUGCGAAUGAGUAGGGUUUCAAUUUGUUCUGUAAUCUUAGCCGAAGGAAGAUAUAGGUUGUGCUUUUGUUAAUGGCGGUGGAUGAUUUGGAUGAAAGUAUGUAUCUUGGGGAUUUUUUUUUGCUUGCAGUUGUUUAGGCCUGGACUGAAGAAGUUUUGUGGAAUGAGAUUCUUAUGAGUAGUCAAUUUUAGUGGGAUUGUUGUUUCAAUCUGGAUAAAGAAUGAUGUCGUUUUCCUAUUCGGUCUGUCCUUUGAUGGUGUAGCAGAUCUGGAAUUUUGUGAAAUGCUCUUUCUGAUUAGAAAUAUAGAAUUGGUUUUAAAUUAUUUUCUUAACUGUUUGGUUCUGAUGUGCUUUACCGAUAAAUCAAGGGUUUGCAAGAUAUUUUUUUGUUGUUCUCUUUAAAUGGUGGGUGUUAUCAUUCUCUCUUUUUUCAUAUCUGUCUUGCCAUUGACUGGGGAUGUGGGUGAUACUGCUACCCUGUACGCCGCAGUACAGGGCUGUAACAAGAUUAUCUAUUGUGCUACUGCACUUUCUACUAUCAGCGGAGACCUCUACAGGGUUGAUCAAAGAGGGGUCUUCAAUCUUACUAAAGCAUUUCAGGACUACAACAACAAAAUGGCGCAAUUACGAGCUGGAAAGAGUAGCAAGAGCAAACUUACAAUUGUAAAGUUCAAGACUUCGGAGUCAGUGGAUGGAUGGGAAGUUUGUCAUGGGACUUCCUUUCAGGAUGCGGUUGCUUCUAAGUAUGAUGGAGGAAUGGAUGCCAAGUUCGAAUGCACUUUCACCGGAGAUGCUGUUUCCUCCUGCAAGAGAAAGACUAAAGUGGGGUUUUGAGGUUCUAGAUGGAAACCAACUAUUAUUCCUUUUACUCUAUUUCUUGCUGCAUUGUAGGAUAUGUUUUCACCAGAUGAGGAAAAUCAUUGGCAACAGAAAUUACCUGAUGAAUUUGCCGCGCAGCUGCAACAUUCUAGCAACAUUUCGUGAAUUUGAGAAGCAGCUGUGCAAGUUCAGUGGAUGAUGCGAUCUGGGCUGCUGAAAAUGCCACAUUGAAAGCUGAGAUGAGUGGAAAGAAGCUAAUGCACUCAUGGAACAACUUAAGCUCAACCCUCAGCUUCAGACGUUUCAAGCGUGGCUUUGGGAUUCUGCAACUGUGAGUAUACACUCUUUCCCGGGUUUAAGGACUAUCAAGGUGCUUAGGAUUUGCGUUCGGUGUUUGAAUUAAAUAACUUUGGGUUAAACCAUUCUGUAAUAUCAGUAGGUUUGUUUUAGGUAUCUUAUGGUUUUAGAAUUGCCUGUGUACAAAGGAUUAUUAUGGCAACGAGAUCAUGUUGCUC